rnacentral:rRNA from 1 species
CCUACGGGUGGCAGCAGUGGGGAAUAUUGGACAAUGGGGGAAACCCUGAUCCAGCGACGCCGCGUGAGUGAAGAAGUAUUUCGGUAUGUAAAGCUCUAUCAGCAGGGAAGAAAAUGACGGUACCUGACUAAGAAGCCCCGGCUAACUACGUGCCAGCAGCCGCGGUAAUACGUAGGGGGCAAGCGUUAUCCGGAUUUACUGGGUGUAAAGGGAGCGUAGACGGCAGGGCAAGUCUGGAGUGAAAUGCCGGGGCCCAACCCCGGAACUGCACUGGAAACUGUGAAGCUGGAGUGCAGGAGAGGUAAGCGGAAUUCCUGGUGUAGCGGUGAAAUGCGUAGAUAUCAGGAGGAACACCGACGGCGAAGGCGGCUUACUGGACUGUAACUGACGUUGAGGCUCGAAGGCGUGGGGAGCAAACAGGAUUAGAUACCCGUGUAGUC